AAUGGGGGAAACCCUGAUCCAGCCAUUCCGCGUGUGCGAUGAAGGCCUUCGGGUUGUAAAGCACUUUUGGCAGGAAAGAAAUCGCACAAAUUAAUACUUUGUGUGGAUGACGGUACCUGCAGAAUAAGCACCGGCUAACUACGUGCCAGCAGCCGCGGUAAUACGUAGGGUGCAAGCGUUAAUCGGAAUUACUGGGCGUAAAGCGUGCGCAGGCGGUUCGGAAAGAGAGGUGUGAAAUCCCAGGGCUUAACCUUGGAACUGCACUUUUAACUCCCGAGCUAGAGUAUGUCAGAGGGGGGUGGAAUUCCGCGUGUAGCAGUGAAAUGCGUAGAUAUGCGGAGGAACACCGAUGGCGAAGGCAGCCCCCUGGGAUAAUACUGACGCUCAUGCACGAAAGCGUGGGGAGCAAACAGGAUUAGAUACCCUGGUAGUCCACGCCCUAAACGAUGUCAACUAGCUGUUGGGGGCUUCGGCCCUU
rnacentral:rRNA from 1 species